AGGAAACUGUUGGGUAAAUGUCAGGCUAAACAAUUAGUUUUAUCUUUUACUUGUUACAGGCCACAUACAUUGGAUAAAAAAUAUAUAAUUACUAAUAAUUUGUGAAGGUGGUUUUAUACUUAUUAGUUUUAUUUUGACAACAGUAGUGUUAUAAGCAUGAAAAGGAUGUUAUUUGAUCAAGAAAUAAAAGAAAACAUCUUAUGUGUCAACUCCAAGCAUUGUACUUACAACUUUUGCAACAGUUAUAGUCAUUAAAACCUUUCCAAUUUCACUCUUUAAGCAGUCAGGCAGGUUAAGGAGCAUGAGAGAGCUGUUCUUUUCCAACUUGGUGGACUGAAAAAAGGUGGUGCAGUCGGACCAAGUCGGUUUUUCGUUAUUCCGGGUGUGGUUGAAAUACAAGUUGUUGAUUUCCGAAAGAUUUCCUUCCUUAUACCACUCCAAGAAAUCCUAAUGAAAGGCAGUGUCACCGUCGCCGUAGAUAUUGUACUUUACAACAAAAUCAGCAACCUCAUUGCUUCUGUCUGCAAUGUAUCCAACAUACCUCUUCAAUGCGUCUUAUCGGCUCAACCACUCUUCGUACCACUAAUGGUACAAUGAGCCUUACAGAUAUCCUCUCGGAUUGAGAGCAUAUAGCACAUGAUCUAUUCCAACAAUGACAUAAUCCAUGAGGGGAUCAAAGUGGAGAGAGUGGAAAUGAAGGACUUUUGAUUUCCUCAUCAGCUUCAAGAGGAAUAUACACAGAGCAGAAGCAAUGAGAUAAGCAAAGUCUACAGUGAUAUCGGAUGAGGGAGAGGAAAAGGCUUCGAGGGCAUUAAAGGAGGCUCCUAACCCUAAAGCAUAUGUCUGCUAAAAGAACUCCACUUUUAAAUUUCCUCUUCCAAUCGAUUUGAUCUUGAGAUUGCUCCCUGGGGAUAAAGAUAAAUUGUCUGUUUUAUGAAUUAUUUCAAUAUCGUAAACUUUUGAAAGAGUGAUGAUUUUCUAAAAGAUACAGUCUGAAUAUUAAUCAACAUUUAUUUGGUUAUUUAAUUUAAAUAUAUAUUAUAAUUGAUAAAUUAAAUGUAAUUAUCCAACAUAACUAUUUGGAUUAAUUAAUAGAAAUCUAAAUUAAUAUGGCUACAAUCAAGUAACUUUACUAAUUUAUAAAUAUGUUUAUGGCAACGUGUACAACUCCUAAGUAUAAUUAUCCAAUCUGAAGAUACUAAGAAUUGAAUGUUCUUACCAUUAGAAAAUACUUACCUAAUUAUCAAUGUUUAUUUCUUUAAUGUACAUAUUGAGGAAAAGGCAUCCUAAAAUUUACUAAAAAAAUAUAAAAUUGUAAUUAUUUACAGAACCUUAUAUCCAUUAGUGUUAAAACUCGGUUCAUGCCAUUUUUUCCCCCAUUUUGGUCUUAAGUAGUGAUCGAUCGGUCUAAAAACCUAAAAAGACUACAGUCCUAUCAUUCUGGUCAUAAUGAAAUUUUUCAGUCCUAAGAUCGGUCCUUAGUGGUCUUUUUUUGGUAUCUAUAACAGCUGAAAUGACGUAAUAACUAAUGACUUCCUUCAAGUUUUCAGCAUAACCAUUUGCAAAUAGACAGGAUGCCUAAAUUUUAAAAUAGGAUAUAUUGGACUAGAAUUUAUAAUGAUCAAUUAUUAUGCAUCCUUGCUAUCAAUCAUUAUUUUCUUUGUUUUUAAAUUAUUCAACCCUACCAUAAAAUGAAGAAAAUGAAAAUAAAACUAGGACUGAAUGAUUUUUUAUAGACCGAUAUUUUGGUCCAAACUGUAAGUUCAGACCGUACACCAAAAUUUAGUAAUUUUUAAAUUGUGGAACAAUUUCUGCGGCCCCAUUAUAAAGACUGUUUUAAGGAAGACGAUUCAAAAAGUCAGUAUGCAUGAAAGACAUUGCAAAUCGUGUUCCUCCAUGCCCAGUCUGCUUCCCAAUGGCCUUCUGGAAAAAUUUAGAAGCGGAUGGGCGCUGCUAUCUCAAUCCUCUUCUCGUACUAUGUGCUUAUGGUGAUGACCAGGAAAAAAAAUUUCUUAGCAAUCGACAGCUAAUAAUGUGUUUUUCUACAUUGGUUAUAUGAAAAUAGUAAAAGAAAUAUUCUUAACCUCUCCCAUUUGCAUACUAAACAUGAGUAAAUAAUAACGGCUGGCCAGGUACGUAUGUACAUUUAUUUUAAUAUACGUUUAAUCAUAGGCAAAUAAAGUAUAUAAAAAG
rnacentral:lncRNA from 1 species